UCGCUUCAGCAGCACAGAUAGUAAAACUGGAACGCUGCAGAGAAGAUUAGCAUGGCCCCUCUGCAAGGAUGACACGCACAUUCGGGAAGUGUUCCGUACUUUU